ACAACUCAGCAGUUUAGUUCUUUGGCAUAGAGAGGAAAGAAACGGCUUCCUCUUAAUCUCAGUUCUAGAAUUUCUUUCAUCGUCAACGAAGCUUUCGAGGUACGUGCUUUCUCGUUCUAAUCUCUAUUUCUGAUUACAAAAUGUACACCAUGGAAGCCGGUCAUGAACUUUCGCCGAAGGGGCGAUGCUGGAAUGAGCUUAAGAGUGGAGGGAUGCUCAAGUGGGGUAAGAGGAUGAAUGUUCAGUUCCAGAGAAAUUAUGAGCAGGAGAAAUUAGAUGGUGAUAAUCCGACUCAGGAUCCUGUUUGUGAUAUGCUCAAGGAAGCCAUGGGCAGAAUGGAAAGGAAUACGCAGGAGCUCUUGUUAAAAAAGCAAGAGGAUGAUGUUGCUGUUGUGAACAGUCCAAGUUCUUGUGUUACGAGUCAGAACUUUGAUGAUGACAACUUCUUGCUUCCAUUGAAGAAAAAUGAUUAACUAGUGAACAGUGGAUUUGAUCCCGAGAGUGUUGUUUAUCUAACUCUUGAAGUGUUGGAUUGUUUUGUUUCGGCAGGAGAUGUAUACAGAUCUGAUGAAUAAGAAAGCUAAGAUUGAGGAACAAAUGAUGGAAGUUUCACAUUCUCUUAACUUUGAUGAUGACAACUUCUUGCUUCCAUUGAAGGAGAUGUAUACAGAUUUGAUGAAUAAGAAAGCUAAGAUUGAGGAACAAAUGAUGGAAGUUUCACAUUCUCUUUGCGCAAUGGAGGUUCUAAUGGAGAAGCUAAAAUCAUCAGUGGAGAAAACAAUCGAAACAGAAUCAAUUUGCAGUAACGGGGUUGAACAUUUAGUAUCAUCCUCAUCAUCAUCAUCACCCUGUUUCCCUGGAAACCAUAGAAGAUGUUAAUUUAGGGACUGAGGGUGAGGGACACUAAUUUUCUCUUUGGCAUCAUGCUUUGAUUUGCAGGUUCCUUAUGAUGGCUUUCUGUGCUUAUUCUGCUUCUGGAUGGCACUCCACAGAUCAUCAUUCUUGGCACAAUCAUUGGGAUCAAGCCAGGAGAAAAGAAAUUGAUAAUCUGGCAACCAAUAUAAGUGCUCCAAUGGAAGUAGAAGAUUUGGUGAAGGUGAUGUUCGAGGAAUCGCCUAUGAAUGCAGUACCUGAGGCAGAGGAAAUCCAACUAUUGUCAUCAAUAUCAGAGGAAGAAAAAAGUGAUGAAGUGGGCAUAGUUGGAGAAAAAGGGUGAGGAAGGCAUGUCUUAAACUUUGCACUUGGCCAAGAUAUUAGAAGGGAAACAUAGCUGCUGUGUAGCACCUAUGAUGCAAUUUCCCUCCUAACAAUAUUCUCAGAUUAUUGUUAUUUAAGUCCAUUCUUCUGAAGGUAGUCAAAUGGGAUUGUCGAUCUCAGAAACAGUUGCUGUUAUGUAAAUGUUUCUUACAAGAACAAAAAGAAGAAAAGAAGGAAAAAAAAAAAAAAAAUCAAUUAGCCUGCUAGAAGCUCUGCUGGCUUGGGAUAAUAAUCGGCAGAAUAUGUAAAGUACUGAUCAUCAGAGGAAAAAGAUGAAGUCGUCGGGGUUGAGAUUAUACUGCUCUUUCUUCUCAUCAGAUUUUUAAGGAAUAACUUAUGCCGGAAAUUACAUUCCAAUUUCAUGGGAGAUGUGGCGACUGCAACCAUCAGACAGCUGGGCCCUGGCUAGGAGAAUGAUGGCAAACUAAAGCUAAACACCAGAUUGCACAGGGCCAAAUAAAAAAUGCCAUAAAAACAUUUACACAUCUGCUUGCUGUUCUCCAAGUUCUUAUGACAAGCUUGGUUGCUGGGAAGAAUCAUCUUAAACAAGUGCGUGAUUUAGCAUAUGAAAUAGAGGAUGCAAUUGAAGAGUUUAUGCUUGAGGUACCUGAUCACUUUCAUGAACAUAAGAUCUCUCAAUUUCUUCAUGAUUUGGCUCACUCUGUAAAUGACAAGAAACCCUUCGCGUCGGUUCUCUCGCAUGGAGACUAUCAAAGCCAAGAUAAAAGAUAUUUUUAGAUGCUUUUCUCAUACUUCCCCCUGAACAUGCCUUGAAUAGUUCUGGCACAGUUCGUUAUCCCGAAGCCAUGGUUGAUGAAUUAGUAGGCAUUGAGAAAUGUAGAAAUGAGCUUCUUGAUCUCAUAAAAAUGGGAGAACAUGGGAAGAUGCUGGUUUCCAGUGGUUGGACUUCGUGGCUCAGGUAAAAUCACUCUCAUCACGGAAGUUUAUAGAAAGUUGAAGGAAGAUUUUGAGUGUCAUGCCUUGCUUUCAGUUCCUCACCCUGUGCCUGUGGAGGGCAUAUCAGAUAAGAUUUGUGCAGCAAUGGAGAUACUUACAGCGAAAGAGGUACGUUAUUUUUGUAGAUGGAAUUGGGAGCAAUGAUGAGUGGAAUCAUAUUCAGUGUGCUCUACCUGAUGGUCGCCCUGGUAGUAGGACAAUUAUUUCCACACAUAAAGGUGAUGUAGCUUCUUAUUGUGCAAAGCCUUGGAAUCACAUUUACUUUCUCGAAGCUCUAACAUGGGAUGAGGGAUGGGAACUUUCCAUCAUAAGGCCUUCCGAGGAAAUAAAUGCCCUGAACGCUUGGUUGGCUGUUCUGAGUGUAUCUUCACAAGAUGUGAACGAUUGCCAUUAGCAUUAGUUGCUGCAGCCAGCCUUUUGUCAAAUAAGCGGGCAAACUACCUCAGAAUUUGAGAAAUUGCAUAAUAGCUUAGGUCAUGAGCUAGGAAGCAGUGACCAUUUAUCAGUCCUGCAAAAGAUAUUACAACAAAGUUACUUCCAUCUUUCCUAUAAUCUCAGAUGCUGCUUCUUGUAACUUUGCAAUUUCCCAGAGGAUCGUUCUGUUUCAUGAGGAAGAUUGGCUCACUUGUGGAUAGCUGAACAGUUUGUUGAGGAGAGAAGAACAAGACAGCGGAGGAUAUGAUCAAUGAAUACCUCAAUGUCAUUCAAAUUAACCUAGUUCAUGCAAGUCAAAGGGAUCUUCAAGGGCGAGUAAGAAGUUGCUGG